rnacentral:rRNA from 1 species
ACAAGCUGCGGAAGCACGACUAACGUGCAACCGUGUACUUUUUGUAGAACGGUCCGGCGAGUUGCCGUUGCUGGCAGGUUAAGUACUUAAGGUACGGAGCCGAAGGGAAACCAAGUCUUAACAGGGCGAUAAGUCAGUAACGGCAGACCCGAAACCGGGUGACCUACCCAUGGCCAGGAUGAAGUCUGCGUAAAAGUGGAUGGAGGUCCGAACACACGUCUGUUGAAAAAGGCGGUGAUGAGCUGUGGGUAGCGGAGAAAUUCCAAUCGAACUCGGAGAUAGCUGGUUCUCCCCGAAAUAGCUUUAGGGCUAGCCUCGGUAUAGUCUAAUGGAGGUAGAGCACUGAAUCGCUGCGGGGGCGUCAAAGUCUACCAAAGCGUAUCAAACUCCGAAUGCCAUAUAGAUGUUUACCGGGAGUCAGACUGUAUGAGAUAAGUCGGACAGUCAAAAGGGAAACAGCCCAGACCAUCUGCUAAGGUCCCAAAGUGUAUGUUAAGUGGUAAAGGAUGUGGGGUUUCGAAGACAACUAGGAUGUUGGCUCAGAAGCAGCCAUUCAUUCAAAGAGUGCGUAAUAGCUCACUAGUCGAGAGGUCCUGCGCCGAAAAUGUCCGGGGCUGAAACAUAACACCGAAGCAAUGGAACAUACCGUAAGGUAUGUUGGUAGGGGAGCAUUGAUAACACGAAGAAGCGGUACCGUAAGGAGCCGUGGAGAGUUAUCAAGAGAGAAUGCCGGAAUGAGUAGCGAGAUGAAGGUGAGAAUCCUUCAGGCCGUAUAUCCAAGGUUUCCAGGGUAAAGCUGAUCUUCCCUGGGGAAGUCGGGACCUAAGCUCAGGCUGAGAAGCGUAGGCGAUGGACAACUGGUUGAUAUUCCAGUACCUCUGGCUAUCAGAAAUGUGGGGACACGGAGAUUCAGGAAGUGCCUGUAAAGGAUUCAGGUGCAAGCAUGGUUUAUGCCGGGCAGGCAAAUCCGUCCGGGGAAUUGAACUGUGUGAUGCGGACCGAAAUAUAAGUAGGGAAGCUUCUGGGAGAGCCGUCGAGAAAAGCCGCUAUUGUGUAGUCAGAGCCCGUACCGUAAACCGACACAGGUGGAUGGGGAGAGUAUCCCAAGGCCGGCGGGAGAAGCAUUGUUAAGGAACUCGGCAAAAUGGCCCCGUAAGUUCGCGAUAAGGGGUGCCUGUAGAGAUACAGGCCGCAGAGAAUAGGCUCAAGCAACUGUUUAGCAAAAACACAGGUCUAUGCGAAACCGUAAGGUGAUGUAUAUGGGCUGACGCCUGCCCGGUGCUGGAAGGUUACGGGGAGUGCUUAGGAGUAAUCCGAAGGUACGAACUUAAGCCCCAGUAAACGGCGGCCGUAACUAUAACGGUCCUAAGGUAGCGAAAUUCCUUGUCGGGU